rnacentral:rRNA from 2 species
AUUACCGCGGCUGCUGGCACGGAGUUAGCCGGUGCUUCUUCUGCGAGUAACGUCAAUGAACAGUGCUAUUAACACUGAACCCUUCCUCCUCGCUGAAAGUGCUUUACAACCCUAAGGCCUUCUUCACACACGCGGCAUGGCUGCAUCAGGCUUGCGCCCAUUGUGCAAUAUUCCCCACUGCUGCCUCCCGUAGG